rnacentral:rRNA from 1 species
GCAUAUCAAUAAGCGGAGGAAAAGAAACUAACAAGGAUUCCCCUAGUAACGGCGAGUGAAGCGGGAUGAGCUCAAAUUUGUAAUCUGGUGGACUCAGUUCAUCCGAAUUGUAAUCUAUAGAAAAGUUUUCCGCGCUGGACCGUGUCUAAGUCCCUUGGAACAGGGUGUCAGAGAGGGUGAGAAUCCCGUGCUUGAUACGACCACCAGUGCUAUGUGAUACUUUUUCAACGAGUCGAGUUGUUUGGGAAUGCAGCUCAAAAUGGGUGGUAAAUUCCAUCUAAAGCUAAAUAUUGGCGAGAGACCGAUAGCGAACAAGUACCGUGAGGGAAAGAUGAAAAGCACUUUGGAAAGAGAGUUAAACAGUACGUGAAAUUGUUAAAAGGGAAACGAUUGAAGUCAGUCGUGCUCUCUAGGACUCAGCCAGUUCUUCUGGUGUAUUUCCUAGUGAGCGGGUCAACAUCAGUUUAGAUCGCUGGAUAAGGUCAUUAGGAAUGUGGCUCCCUCGGGAGUGUUAUAGCCUAGUGUCGCAUACAGUGGUUUAGACUGAGGAACGCAGCUCGCCUUUAUGGCCGGGGUUCGCCCACGUCCGAGCUUAGGAUGUUGACAUAAUGGCUUUAAACGACCUGUCUUGAAACACGGACC